UACGGAGGGUGCAAGCGUUAUCCGGAUUCACUGGGUUUAAAGGGCGCGUAGGCGGUUGGAUAAGUCAGCUGUGAAAACCACGGGCUUAACUCGUGGCCUGCAGUUGAGACUGUCUGGCUUGAGUGUGGGAGAGGAGAGUGGAAUUCCUGGUGUAGCGGUGAAAUGCGUAGAUAUCAGGAGGAACACCGGUGGCGAAGGCGGCUCUCUGGACCACAACUGACGCUGAGGCGCGAAAGCUAGGGGAGCAAACAGG
rnacentral:rRNA from 1 species